rnacentral:rRNA from 1 species
UACGUAGGCAGCAAGCGUUAAUCGGAAUUACUGGGCGUAAAGCGUGCGCAGGCGGCUUGCCAAGUCAGAUGUGAAAGCCCCGGGCUCAACCCGGGAACUGCGUUUGAAACUGGCAGGCUAGAGUUUGGCAGAGGGGGGUGGAAUUCCACGUGUAGCAGUGAAAUGCGUAGAGAUGUGGAGGAACACCGAUGGCGAAGGCAGCCCCCUGGGCCAAAACUGACGCUCAGGCACGAAAGCGUGGGGAGCAAACAGG